UGCGGCGGUCACGCCAUUGAGCGCGAAAAAUGUCUGAUCAGCAAAAAGAAACAAAUGCCCAUCAAAUUGCAAAAAGACGACUGGAUUUAACUGAAGACCGGGAUGCGGGCGGUAGCAAACGCUUUUGCAGCGAAAGCCUCUUUUGGCCAGACAGCGACGAGGAGAGUUUCUUCUCCAAUGCAAAGCUUGAAGAUUUGGUCAGCGGCCGCAAUGAGCUAUUCGGAACCCAGGCGCAGACGAGCGACAAACCGUUGCAGCGCAGUGGAUCGGACGAUGGCCUUUUUGCUGACAUCUCUUCUCCCAGCACCCAGAGAGCCGAGCAGGAGCAGGGACACGGCACGGACAAUGCGUCGACUAAAGAAAAUCAGAUCGAUCUGGCGGUUGAGGCGGAUGCCGGCACUCUGUUCAAGCAGAUCAAUCUUCAUGAUCUGAGCAUUGCUGAAAUGGAGGAUAUAUUCCACGGAGCCGAAGACUUUAGUGAGCCAAUUGUGCAGAAUACGCAACUUUUCCUCGACGCAGUCGCAUUCAAAGUGCCCAAUCCCAAGAGCCCAGAGAAAGCUGAGAAAUCGUUGGCUGCGGUCAAGGACGAGUCCAUGUGCGCCAUUGAGGGACUGGUUCAUGGCACGCAAUACGCGACCUGUGAGGAGCUGAAGAACCAAUCAAUACUCGACCCAAUCAAUUGGGAGACUCAAGCCUUUGCCGACUUUGAGCAGAAGAGCCUGGCCCAAGACAACUUCCCCAGCAAGGGCGACUUCUACGGACUGCCGGAUAAGGUCAAGAAGAUGAUACUCGAACACAAGGGCAUCAAGAGCCUCUAUGAAUGGCAGGACGAGUGCCUGAAUUUACCGGCAAUACGCCAGCGAAAGAAUCUAAUCUACGCCCUGCCCACCAGCGGCGGUAAAACCCUGGUGGCAGAGAUUCUCAUGCUGCGCGAACUGCUGUGUCGGGAGCGCAAUGUGCUGUUCAUAUUGCCAUACGUCUCGAUUGUCCAGGAGAAGGUCAGCGCCAUGUCGCCGUUUGCCAUUGACCUGGACUUCAUUGUCGAUGAGUAUACGGCCGGCAAGGGCAAAUGUCCGCCAGAGCCUCGUCGCAAGAGGCGCAGCUUGUUUAUUGCCUCAAUCGAAAAGGGAGCCGUGCUGAUGGACAGCCUGAUUGAUGUGCAACGUCCCCAUGAGAUUGGCCUUGUGGUGGUCGAUGAGCUUCAUUUGAUUGGCGAACGGGGACGCGGCGCCACCCUCGAGGCCUUUCUCACCAAAGUCAUGUUUCUGAAUGCAAAUAUUCAAAUUGUGGGCAUGAGUGCAACGAUAGGAAACCUCAGCGAGAUCUCUGCCUUUCUCAAUGCCGAUGUCUACACCCGCGGCUUUCGGCCCGUGGAGCUGAAAGAGUACAUCAAAUGUGGCUGCGAUUUGUUGGAGAUCAACUCGGCUGGCCAUACCCUCGAGGAAAUAUUCGUUCCCAGUCGCACAGUCGACUUUAAUUACAGCGAUGUUGUGAAGCGUUCGGAUCCUGAUCAUUUGGCGGGAUUGAUCAGCGAAUGUGCGCCAGAGCAUUGCUGUUUGGUGUUCUGCCCCAGCCGCAAGAACUGCGAGAAUGUGGCACUGCUGCUGAGCCGCAUUGUGUCCAAGCAGAAGUUCUUGGAGCAUCGCCGCAGCGAAAAGGCCGAUCUCAUGGAUGCCCUGGACAAGAUAUGCGGCAUUCUUAGCCCUGUGCUGGCCAAAACCCUGCCCUUCGGCAUUGCCUAUCACCACUCUGGCCUCACCACCGACGAGCGCAAGUAUAUAGAGACAGCCUAUCGCUUUGGCGUCGUCACCGUCAUCUGCUGCACCUCCACCCUGGCUGCGGGCGUGAAUCUGCCGGCCAAGCGUGUCAUCAUUCGCGCUCCCUACGUGGGCCAGGAGUUCAUGACGCUGUGCAAGUACAAGCAAAUGGUAGGACGCGCCGGACGCGCUGGCCUGGGCGAGGCCGGCGAGAGUAUUUUGAUAGCCCAAAGCAGGGACAAUCUGCAGGUAGGACAAAUGCUCUUCUCGCCCAUGGACAAGGCGCUGAGUUCGUUAUAUCAGCAGGAGGCCGUGGGAUUGCAGUCACUCAUUCUGAGCGUGAUUGGGCUCAACCUUGCCGAAUGCCGCCGCGAUUUGAAUCGCCUGGUGAACAGCACGCUCCUUGCGGUGCAGGCCAAUAUCCUGGAGGUGGCUGUGGACGAGCUGGUUCUCCGCAUACUCCGCGAAAUGUUCAAGAACAAAGUGCUGCAGCUGACAGAGCCGACGGCAGCCAAGCCAAAGAUCAACUGCUCGGUUAUAAUUACCACCCAGGAUGGGAACCAGAGCACUCGUCCCGCUGACGAUCGUCGCCUGUUCAUUGGCCAGUCCACGCGCUUCAAGCUGACCAACAUUGGACGGGCUGCCUUCAAGGCGGGCAUUGACUACAAGCGCGCCAGCGCCAUUCACCGCGAACUGAAGCUGGCCCAGCAGCAGCUCAUUCUCAACAGCUACUCGCAUCUGCUGUAUCUCGUGGUGUGCUUCAACUCGAAUGAGCGGGGGGACGAUUUGUUCCCCGCCGAUGCCAGCAUUCUGUUCAACGUCUACACGUCGCUGUCCAUCGAAUCGCAGGCGCUGUUCAAGCAGCUCGGCUUCACCGAGGCCCAUGCGGCCAGGCUCUUGAAGACGCAGUCGGUGCAGGGUCCCAUGGCCCUGCAACUGAAUCGCCUCUACAAAGUGCUCAUCCUGUCCGAUAUUCUGGACCUCUUGCCGCUGCCCACAGUCUCCGGCAAAUACAAUGUGGAGCGCGGCACUCUGCAGCACCUGAUCAGCCAGUCGAUUUCCGCCUCCAGUGCCAUUGUGCGACUGUGCGAUGAAAUGGGGGAGUUCUGGUGCUACAAGCCAUUGUUCGAGCGCGUUCUUCACAAAAUGGAUCGUUGUGGCACGCAAGAAUUGGAGUCACUCAUGGAGUUGCCUGGCGUUAAAAUUAAUCGCGCCAAGCAGCUGUAUGCAGCGGGCUUCAGGACCAUUGAGGAUUUAGCCAAAAUACGACCCAGGAAUUUGGUGCAAGCCGUAGAGCAUAUGCCAUUGAGAGUGGCCACGGAAAUUGUCUCAGCAGCAAAGAUUAUAUUGAUGAAGAAACUAGAUCAUUUGGAGGAGGAAACGGAGAACCUGAAGGUCUGCCUGCGCUCCAGUGAUUAGUGGGCCGCCAGCGGUAGCGUUAAGUGACCCACGGAUUCACAGACUCCGACCGAAAAAGAGCAUAGCUCGAAGCGCACGACAAUAAAUUGUCUGGGUCUCGAUGAGCAGGCAGGCCUCACCUUACCCGCAUUGUCUUGGCCAAGUUCAAAUUCAAGGCUAAGCACGAUGACAAAUGCCGACUCCACUUGGUACACCCCCUUACAGCGCACGCCACUGCGCCUGCUGUCGGCAAACUGACGAAUUGAAGAGACAAACCACUGUCAAAACUGGCCAAAGAGUUUGCAUCUUUUUGGAUUUGAAUACACUUGACAAUCGCUUAACAAAAAGCGACUUAACCUUACCCCAAACGAAACCAGACAGCCGGAGACCAGGGACCAGAGCCCGAUGAGAUGAGAGGCAGAUGCAGAGGCAGAGUCGACUCCUCUUCAGCAAUCCUCUUCGAUAAUCGCAGCAAUUAUACUAAGCACACAAAUCAACUUCAACUUCACCGCUGGACGCUGCUGCUGGAGACCCGAGGAGUAGUCUCUUAGAGGGAAAAACAAACCAUAACGAAAUGUUUUACAUUAAUUUCAAAACGCAUGCGACAACCCCAAGUUGCAUUGCAAAAAAUCAGAAA